ensembl:snRNA U4atac minor spliceosomal RNA
ACCAUCUUUGUCAUGGGGUGAGUGGCUUGCUCAAUGAACGUGUAGUGAGAGUGGCCCCGCUGACACCAUUUCAACACUCCAGCAUCACCUGAACAGCCCUGCUCAGGUUAUGGUGCAAUUUUUGGAAAC